rnacentral:lncRNA from 1 species
GCUGCGCACUUCGGUCUUUUACGUCGGCCUUCGCGAGCGUCUGGGCGGGUGGUAGGAACAAUGGCGCUGUCUUCAGUGGCACAGUGGAGCAGCUCUGAAGAUGCAAAGAUACACGAAAAAACUUCCAGAACAUCUGGGAGAAUAUUUAAUGGAAAAUCGCUUGGUUAAAACCUGACACUUUUAACAGGUAUGUGUUGUUUUAGUACUUUAUGAUUGAGCAUAGCAUUUAAUCCACACCUAGACUAAAUCAAAUUUUUUUUGUCAGUGAACAGCGUUCUGAGUGUGGACGAGUAGCCAGUGAAGAUAAUGAAUGUCGAAUGUGACUGACUAGCAGCUUCAUUUUGAAGUAGGUUGUAUGGCUUAAAAGUUCUGUAGUAUUUGUACUAUAAUACUUGCCUUUUAGCAUUACCUUGGUUUGUAGUCAGUGUCACAGAAGUGCAGUUUAAUGUAUUAUGUGUACAUAUACAAGGUCUGAUUGGUCUAAUCAAUGAUGAAACCUAUCCCGAAGCUGAUAACCUGAAGAAAAAUAAGUACGGAUUCGGCUUCUGAGAUUAAGACCAGUAAUUCAGAGGUGGAGUAAAUUUUGUUGCCGUGAUUUUAUAACAGUUGUGUUAUAAAAUCCUGGGUUUUUUUUUUUUCUGCCAACAGUGAGGGUCGCUGUCUGCCCAUUGAUAGAGGCCAGAUUGUCUUGGAAGUUCCAAAGUUGCAACGAUUUCUGGCUAGUGCCACGAGGUUUACUUGACUGUUGUGUGAAAAGCUGAUAAGAAAACCAUCCAGAAAAAAGCUCUUCGUUUUACAAACAUGAAAAUAAAACAUGUAAUUUUGGAUUAUGUUCCUUUUUGUUAUUACUUUUAAAUAGGUCCUGAAAUAACAUGGGGAGCAUUAAAUGGAAAAUCCACUAA